rnacentral:rRNA from 1 species
UGAUCCUGGCUCAGGAUGAACGCUAGCGCAGGCUUAACACAUGCAAGUCGAGGGGUAACAUUGUAGCUUGCUACAGAUGACGACCGGCGCACGGGUGCGUAACGCGUAUAGAACUUACCUUUUACAGAGGGAUAGCCUUUAGAAAUGAAGAUUAAUACCUCAUAGUAUUAUUGAUUGGCAUCAAUUAAUAAUUAAAGAUUUAUCGGUAAAAGAUGGCUAUGCGUCCUAUUAGCUAGAUGGUAAGGUAAUGGCUUACCAUGGCUACGAUAGGUAGGGGCCCUGAGAGGGGGAUCCCCCACACUGGUACUGAGACACGGACCAGACUCCUACGGGAGGCAGCAGUGAGGAAUAUUGGGCAAUGGAGGUAACUCUGACCCAGCCAUGCCGCGUGCAGGAAGACUGCCCUAUGGGUUGUAAACUGCUUUUAUACAGGAAGAAACACUCGUACGUGUACGAGCUUGACGGUACUGUAAGAAUAAGGACCGGCUAACUCCGUGCCAGCAGCCGCGGUAAUACGGAGGGUCCGAGCGUUAUCCGGAAUCAUUGGGUUUAAAGGGUCCGCAGGCGGUCAAUUAAGUCAGAGGUGAAAUCCCAUAGCUUAACUAUGGAACUGCCUUUGAUACUGGUUGACUUGAGUCAUAUGGAAGUAGAUAGAAUGUGUAGUGUAGCGGUGAAAUGCAUAGAUAUUACACAGAAUACCGAUUGCGAAGGCAGUCUACUACGUAUGUACUGACGCUCAUGGACGAAAGCGUGGGGAGCGAACAGGAUUAGAUACCCUGGUAGU